CCUACGGGAGGCAGCAGUGAGGAAUAUUGGUCAAUGGGCGCGAGCCUGAACCAGCCAAGUCGCGUGAAGGAUGACUGCCCUACGGGUUGUAACCUUCUUUUAUAAAGGAAUAAAGUGAGGCACGUGUGCCUUUUUGUAUGUCCUUUAUGAAUAAGGAUCGGCUAACUCCGUGCCAGCAGCCGCGGUAAUACGGAGGGUCCGAGUGUUAUCCGGAUUUAUUGGGUUUAAAGGGAGCGUAGAUGGGUUGUUAAGUCAGUUGUGAAAGUUUGCGGCUCAACCGUAAAAUUGCAAUUGAUACUGGCAGUCUUGAGUACAGUUGAGGUAGGCGGAAUUCGUGGUGUAGCGGUGAAAUGCUUAGAGAUCACGAAGAACUCCGAUUGCGAAGGCAGCUUACUAAACUGCCACUGACAUUGAUGCUCGAAAGUGUGGGUAUCAAACAGGAGUAGAUACCCUAGUAGUC
rnacentral:rRNA from 1 species